CUGAUAUUAUUUUUUAAACCUUUGCCCCUCUAAUUUAAGACUAUGUCCUCUUGUUUUCUUCUUUUAAAUAUAGUCUCCUCCUUUACUGUGAUUCCCUUUAUGUAAUUAAAUGUUUCUAUCAUAUCCCCCUGUCUCGUCUUUCCUCCAAGCUAUACAUGUUAAGAUCCUUUAACCUUUCCUUGUAAGUUUUAUCCUGCAAUCCAUGAACCAGUUUAGUAGCCCUUCUCUGAACUCUCUCUAAGUAUCAAUAUCCUUCUGAAGAUGCGGUCUCCAAGUGAGGUCUCACCAGUGUUCUGUACAAAGGCAUAAGCACUUCUCUUUCUACUGCUAAUACCGCUCCCUAUACAACCAAGCAUUCUGCUAGCCUUCCCUGCCCCUACAGUCUCUCUGCUCAAUUCUCUACCAUUUAGGAGUUAAUUCACUUUGUUUAUGCAAUCCUAGUCACACCUCCCUGCAUGUGACUUAGC